rnacentral:ncRNA from 2 species
AGCCGUUAUCACGAAUCUCAAAAAGAGAUAGCAACCUGCAACAACGAGCAAGGUGCUAAAACGAUAAGCCAAAUCCUUUGGAAAAAAUGUUGUUUUA